rnacentral:rRNA from 1 species
UAAAUAGCCCUUUUUGCUUCGGCAGUAAGCUGGCUUCUUAGAGGGACUAUCGGCUCAAGCCGAUGGAAGUUUGAGGCAAUAACAGGUCUGUGAUGCCCUUAGAUGUCCUGGGCCGCACGCGCGUUACACUGACAAAGCCAGCGAGUAUUUCCUUGGCCGGAAGGCCCG